rnacentral:tRNA from 1 species
UUUAACUUAGUUUAAGAAAAAUGAUAGCUUGUCGAGCUUUAGACACAAAUAUUAAGUUUGUAGUUAAAU